rnacentral:rRNA from 1 species
GCCUACGGCCAUACCACCCUGAAAGCGCCCAAUCUCGGAAUCUAAGCAGGGACGGGCUUGGUUAGUACCUGGAUGGGAGACCGCCUGAUAAUACCAGGUGUUGUAUGCU